ensembl:misc_RNA
UUGACCGUGCUGAAGACUGAAUUAUUCUAUGGAAGGUGUACGGGACAAGCAGUGACAAUGCGAGCUUCCCUCAUCUCUGUAUGUUGCCACUGCCAAUGUGCCUCAACACUGACUUGGCGGGACAUGUCUAAAGUGAAGAAAAGAGUUCGAGCUCCAUGGCCCAUUCAUUCCUUAUGCUGUC